rnacentral:lncRNA from 1 species
AUGCUGCCCUGCCGGGGCAGGUUGGAAACAGAACACAUCUUGGAGUUCCCUGCAGAAGAUUCCUGUUUCCAGACUCACCGUGUCUGGCCCCUCAGAGUACUGUUGCCCAUUGCAGUGAGCAGAAGGGAGCUCUGGCUGGGUGCUGCUCUGACCAUGCAGUGCCACGGUGUCCCUACAGCUGCAUGGCAGAGCACCGCAUCAGGCUUGCUCACAGCUGGAGGCGGGGGACAAGCUUCACCAGCAGCAUGAGCACGAAUGAGGAGAAGGGAAGUUUCCUGCUCUUCACAUUACAAGAAAAGCCUCUUCGUAUAAACUCUGCUAACAGGUGAGUUUCAUUUUUAUCUAUUAAUUCUUGAAAGCAAGUUAAUUUUCCAUCACUGUGCAGGUCUCAUCCCUGGAGAGGUGGUAAGACAGUUUUCUAGCUGAGUUGUUAAAGCAAAACAACGAGGUGCUCCAAGGACUUAACCAAAGCAAUGUGUCCAAAACAAUUCACAACUUCAAAAUUUCCUUGGCAAAGUUCCUACUAACAGGAACUUUGAAUAAAGGUUUUCCCCCAAAAAAAUUUCUUGAGUUUCAGUUAGGCACAAGAGGAGCUGAAUGUUCAAGUUGUAUUGAUGAAAGGGAAUUGUUAAGAUAACUGAGAAACUGUUUGUUGUUUGCAGCAAGUAAUCAGAGCAGUAGCAUGUAGAUAAGUUCCUGGAGUAAUUUUCAGAGCACUUACUAGCACUAGUUGAAUAGAUACAAGGUAUUUUGAAGGAGUAAGUAACAUUAUUUCCCCUGAGAAUACAAGCCAAAAGUUACACCUAACAUGAAACUGCUAAACCACAUACCUUCAUGUGUGGGUGCUCUGUGUAAACCUAUAUAGUUUUGUCUUUGUAUCUCAAGUGUAUGUAAUUACUAUAUUUUCCAAACACCAAGCCACUUUUCUUCCUGCGGUUCAGAAUCUGGCUUGGAAAACUUGAAAUUUGAGGGCUUGUUUAGAGAAGUGAAAUCCAUCAGGUGAGAAAUUAAUCUUUUUUUCAAUAGGAUAAAAAGAACUUUUGUUAGUUAUUGUAGCUUGUCCUUGUUAUGAGAACGUUUUUCCUGUUCUUGUCAGUCUUUGUAAAGAAACAAGAAAAGCAAUUCACUGAGUGAUGCUUUCUUCUUUUGUGUGUUGCAUGGGGAUGAAAGCUGAGAAAUAGAGAAUUUAGAAGAAUAUAUCAGCUUGCCCUGUCCUCUUCUGCUCAAAACACAUGCAGAUAUUUAUUAAUAAAAAUAUAAGGAAACUUAACAGUAAAAUAAGUAAAAAUGGCUACAUGUAGGCUCAUAGGACGUGACAGUGUCACUGAGCAGUAUGGGACUUUCUGAGCAGUGUGUUAGUCAG